rnacentral:rRNA from 1 species
AGGUCAGGACACGGUAAGGAUUGACGGACUGAAGGCUCUUUCUCGAUUCCGUGGAAAGUGGUGCAGUUGGCCGUUUUUGGUUGGUGGAUCGAUCCGUCUGGUUAAUUCCGUUAACGAACGAGACCUCGGCACUCCGAAUAGCGCGGCGGACGUCGCGGCCUCCGGGCCGUCUUCCGCACGAGCUUCUUAGAGGGACCGUCCCCCGCCGGGGAAGGAGGUGCGAGGCAACGACAGGUCUGUGAUGCCCUUAGAUGUUCUGGGCCGCACGCGCAUUACACUGACGCGUCCAACGGGUGACUCCCGACCCGAAGGGGCCGGGGAAUCCGCAAGGCGCGUCGUGAUGGGGAUUGAACGUUGCAAUUGUUGUUCACGAACGAGGAAUUCCUAGUAGGCGCGGGUCAUCAACCCGCGCCGAUUACGUCCCUGCCCUUUGUACACACCGU